UACGUAGGGUGCAAGCGUUGUCCGGAAUUAUUGGGCGUAAAGAGCUCGUAGGCGGUCUGUUGCGUCGGCUGUGAAAACCCGGGGCUCAACUCCGGGCCUGCAGCCGAUACGGGCAGACUAGAGUUCGGCAGGGGAGACUGGAAUUCCUGGUGUAGCGGUGAAAUGCGCAGAUAUCAGGAGGAACACCCGUGGCUAAGGCGGCUCUCUAGUACGGUACUGACGCUGAGACGCGAAAGCGUGGGGAGCGAACAGG
rnacentral:rRNA from 1 species